CCUACGGGAGGCUGCAGUGAGGAAUAUUGGUCAAUGGACGAGAGUCUGAACCAGCCAAGUAGCGUGAAGGAUGACUGCCCUAUGGGUUGUAAACUUCUUUUAUAUGGGAAUAAAACGUUCCACGUGUGGGAUUUUGUAUGUACCAUAUGAAUAAGGAUCGGCUAACUCCGUGCCAGCAGCCGCGGUAAUACGGAGGAUCCGAGCGUUAUCCGGAUUUAUUGGGUUUAAAGGGAGCGUAGGUGGAUUGUUAAGUCAGUUGUGAAAGUUUGCGGCUCAACCGUAAAAUUGCAGUUGAAACUGGCAGUCUUGAGUACAGUAGAGGUGGGCGGAAUGCGUGAUGUAGCGGUGAAAUGCUUAGAUAUCACGAAGAACUCCGAUUGCGAAGGCAGUUCACUGGACUGCAACUGACACUGAGGCUCGAAAGUGUGGGUAUCAAACAGGAUUAGAUACCCUGGUAGUC
rnacentral:rRNA from 1 species